UAGAGCGCUGCACGCAAUAUGGAGGACAGUGAAAACAAUUCGUAACAGGACUGUCUUAAUAGCAGUUGACAAGUCAGGGUUUAUUCAUUCCUUGUUCGCAGUGAACAUAUCGGAACUUCGGCUGGUCUGAGAUCUGCAGAGGAAGAUGUUUUGUCUCUGGCCGUCCCUGUGGCUUCAGCCCGGGACACAGGUUUGCUUCGUCAACUGGCAGAGAGUCCAUAAACUUGCCUCGCUUCAGAAAGCUACAGCGCUCCCCCAGAAGAAAGUCCAGAGCUUGCUCUACCCCUUUAGUGCACUGGAGGCGUACCUGGACAGGUCUGUGGACAGGACACAGUUCCAGCUCUUCCAUCCCAGUCUGGAGGACAUGGUUAAAGCAGAGAAGUUCUUCUGCUCCACACAGUCUCACAGGAUCGAUUACUACGUCUCUGCAGAAAGGAUGGACCAUGUUCCUGCACUGAAACCUCCGGAGGUGUGUUUCAUCGGCAGAAGCAACGUGGGCAAGUCCUCUCUCAUCAAGUGUCUGUUCUCCCUGACUCCCGAGCUCGAGGUCCGAGUCUCCAAAACUCCAGGUCACACGAAGAAGAUGAACUUCUUCAGAGUGGGUAAAGCUUUCACCGUCGUUGACAUGCCAGGCUACGGACACAGAGCACCCACAGACUUUGUGGACAUGGUGGAGCCGUAUCUCCACACCAGGAAGAAUCUGGUGAGGACGUUCCUGUUGGUCGAUGGCAGUGUUGGUCUGCAGAAGGCCGACAUGAUCGCCCUGGAGAUGUGUGAAGAGAUGAGACGUCCAUACGUGCGCCUGCCUGUACCUGCAAACCGCUUCAUCCGCUGUGCCAACAAACUACUUAAACCGACUCUCCUUUCACCUUUUGGGGAGCAAGACACAAGACCUUCCUGGGUCUUGAGGAGCAGCAGUGUUCGUUGAUGGGCCAACUCUAACAUACUGCAUCACUUUUAGAUGAAAAGAAAUAUCAGGAAUGCUACUGGACCAACGACAGGAACAGCUCAUCUGUAGCAGAAACAAGAUCCCUGACUGAAGCAAUUGUUGAUCAGUUGUAGCCCCUCCCAGCCGGUUAGAGGAGAGAGCCAGCAGUCAAUGACGCUGUAACAGUCGAAAAGGGCUUUUCAAAAAGUGUGAAUCACUGUAAUAGUUUCCUGUGCUCGUUGAGCCUGCCGUUCUAAAUGAGCAUAGGAAACAUUAGGAUGAUGGAUCCAGUAGUUUGUGAGAUUAACUGUGGACAGACGGACAGAUGCACACAUGACAAACACGUAAUCUCCUGGCGGAGGUUCAAGUUGUUCCUUUGCCGUUUUGUUGUGGUCAUAUGGGAUACGAUGUAAAGGAUGAGGCUCACAAUGCUGCCUGUAAUGAUUUGCUGACACGUCUCUUUAUCACUUGCUUGCUGAUAGCUCCAUGUUCAUAUUUUCCAUGAAGGUAGAAUUGUAAUGUGCCAAACAUUUUGUGUUGCAGAUGGUGGUGACAAAGAUUGACAAAUGUGGGUCCGGAACACUGCUGUGCAACCUAAUGGAUCUUCAGGAUGUGGUCAAAACACAAACCACAAGCUGCUUCCCUCAGCCACUCCUGGUCAGCUCCCUCCAGUUCUGGGGGAUCUACCUCCUGAGAUGCUUCAUUGCUCAUGUAACAGGCAGCAUCAGGUUAACGGACACCUCUCGGAGCUGACCCGAGGACAACUUAGCCUCGCUGGCUGGAUCCACACCACCCACAAUGCAACUGCUUCAAAUACUUUUAUUUUCUAAUAAAAUGUAAAAACACUC